GGAUGUGAGGGCAAUCUGGCUGUGUCAUCUGUUACCUCGCUAGGAUUGAUUUGGCUCAUCUGGAUGGCUAGGUGGGUGUACCCUUCCUCCCUCACUGCUCUAUGUGCGUCCCUCCUGCGAACAACUAGUACAUAUAUGUACAUUUGGAAAAGAAACUAGAAAACGACUUGGGAGAACACUAAUCAGUAUUGUAAAAUUCUGAGCUACUCCAUCAGAAGGAACAGGAACCUUACUUA
rnacentral:sRNA from 1 species